rnacentral:rRNA from 1 species
CCCUUGUUGCAGACUGAGAGAAGAUCAUUG